rnacentral:lncRNA from 1 species
AUGCGCCCGCUGCAAGAGACACACGUUAGUGGGGGCCCACAGCCCCCCGCAACCCCCCGGGAUGGGGCGGGGGCAACAGAAACCCCCGGGACCCCCCCCCCCGGGGAGGUUUGGGAAGUAGAGACCGCCCCCCCCACGGGUGAGGGGGGCUGCACCCGCUGCAAUAGAGGCACUUUAAGGGUGGGAGGGCUGCGACCCCCUGGCCCGGACCUCCGAGACCCUCCGGGGAGGGUUUGUCACCAGAGACCCCCCCGGGGACAAUUCGGGCUCCAGGGACCACUCGGGACCCCCACGGGGCCACUUCAGGUGCUGGGGGUUGGAAAACCCUGGGGACACCCUCUCGGAGGGGGGCACACACCAGUGGACAGCGGGGACCCCGAGGGGGGGCCAGAGCACUCGGGGGGGGGGUUUCGGUCACCUUUUCUGCCGGCCCCUCCCCACGGACCCCGCUGCACCCCCGGGGAUGGGGGGGGGGAACGGGGCGCGACCCCUCCACCGUGUCCCCGGCGCUGGGAGGAGCCCGCGGGGUCCGGGGGUGUCCCUGUCCCCCCCCGCACCCCCCUGGGGGGGUCCUUACCAGGCGGCGGGGUCGUACUCGGCCCAGACCCGCACAUACUCGUCCAGGUGGUGCGGGCCCAGGAUGGACGAGUCCCGCGUCAGGUACUCGAAGUUGUCCAUGAUGACGGCGACAAAGAGGUUCAGCAUCUUCGGGAACGGGGGCGCGGGGGGGGUCAAGGGUGGGAGGGCGCGGUGUCCUCCUCCCCAGAGCCCCCCGGAGCCCCCCCGGGCUCAGCAGAGAGGAAGGAGAUGGGAGAAGGAGCAGAGGUGAAGGAGCAGGGGUGUCAGGGGUGGGCGGGCGGUUUGGGGACCCCCCCCCCGGGAGCUCACCAGGAAGGAGCAGAGGAAGAUGAAGGACACGAAGUAGAAGUAGGCGAACUCGUUGCCGCACUCAUCCUCCUUGAUGCCCGAGUUCUCGUCGCACGGCUUCCCGCUCAGGCACGACAGCAUGAUCUCGUGCCACGCCUCCCCGGUGGCGCUCCUGGCGACAGGGGACGCGCCGGUCACACGGACGGCAAGGGGGACACGGCGGGGGGAACACGGCGGCGCGGCUCUCAUAGCGCGGGUGGCACCAGUAUGGCACUGGGUGGCACUGGGACUGUGCUGGGAACGUGCUCGGGUGGCACUGAGUACCCAGGUGACACUGGGGUGGCACUGGGACUGUGCCGGGGGCCACACUGCGGUGGCACUGAGCGCCCAGGUGACAGCGGGGCCCACCUGAAGAGCAGCAUCAGUGCCUGGAAGAAGGUGCGGAAGUUGUUGUGCUGGGUGAUGGCCGACUCAUCAUCCUCCUCCUCGAUCCCGAUGUUCCCAAACACCUGGGGGGGGGGCAGGGCAGCUCAGGGGGGCCGCGGGGGGGCUGGGGGUGUCACCUGCACCCGGGGGUGUCACCUGCACCUGGGGGGUCUCACCUGCAUCCCGAUGAUGGCGUAG